rnacentral:tRNA from 1 species
AGCUCAGUCAGUUGAGCAUGGUGCUGAUAACACCAAGGUCGCUGGUUCGAUUCCCGU